CCUACGGGUGGCAGCAGUGGGGAAUAUUGCACAAUGGGGGAAACCCUGAUGCAGCGACGCCGCGUGAGUGAAGAAGUAAUUCGGUAUGUAAAGCUCUAUCAUCAGGGACGAAAAUGACGUUACCUGAGUAAGAAGCUCCGGCCAACUAUGUGCCAGCAGCCGCGGUAAUACGGAGGGGGCAAGCGUUAUCCGGAUGUACUGGGUGUAAGGGGAGCGUAGACGGCAGUGCAAGUCGGGAGUGAAAGCCGGGGGCUUAACCCCCGGACGGCUCUGGAAACUGUACGGCUGGAGUGCAGGAGAGGUAAGUGGAAUUCCUAGUGUAGCAGUGAAAUGCGUAGAUAUGAGGAAGAACACCAGUGGCGAAGGCAGCUUACUGGACUGUAACUGACGUUGAGACUCGAAAGCGUGGGGAGCAAACAGGAUUAGAUACCCGGGUAGUC
rnacentral:rRNA from 1 species